rnacentral:rRNA from 2 species
UACGGAAGGUGCAAGCGUUAAUCGGAAUCACUGGGCGUAAAGCGCUCGUAGGUUGCUUUGUAAGUCAGGUGUGAAAUCCCACGGCUCAACCGUGGAAUUGCACUUGAUACUGCAUUGCUUGAGUUCGGGAGAGGGUAGUGGAAUUUCGAGUGUAGGGGUGAAAUCCGUAGAUAUUCGAAGGAACACCGGUGGCGAAGGCGACUACCUGGACCGAUACUGACACUGAGGAGCGAAAGCGUGGGGAGCAAAC